rnacentral:lncRNA from 1 species
GUACCCCUGCUGAGUUCCAGUACAGGGAGUACGAGUGGCGUUGGCUUCUGACAUCAGAAUUCAACAACCCUCGUAAACAGGUAUUAAAAAAUUAAUUAGUUAAUUUGUCAUUAAGUACGUCCGUUUUUAAAUAUUUUACUAAUAAUUUAUUUUUUCUUUGAAGGCCGUUUCCCGAGCGAACUCUCAGAACCGGCAACGCAACACAAGGAACCAUCAUGGCGGUUCUAGACCGUUCGCUGUCUUCAUGGACGAGGCGGCCAGGGAACAUCCAGAGGUCAACCCGUACGUCUAUACGUACGAGAAGGCAUAUCCUGACUCCCAGGAGGAUAUUGUAAGUCAUUUUACGUUUUUAAAUUUUAAAUUUUAAAUUUAUAUAUAUGUGAAAAUGUUAAUUAAUUAUUUUUUCCUAUCCAAUUAGGCGAAUGUGAGGGAGGCUAGUGACGAGGUGAUGAGUGCUAUAGUGAGGGAGACAUGGCCGGACACGCAGGAGGAAGAGAUGUCCGAAGCCAUGUCCCGGUUCGACACUUCGGAUCCGACGAUUGGGGCGAGGAUCAUGGGCACAGCCUUCCCACCGAGAGCAAACAACUUCUACUGCCGGGGUCUAGGAAAGAAAGGCGAGGGGGUCCUGAAGACCACUCCAGGAUUUCAAAGAAAGGCAGCAUCGACCAGCAGCAGGACCACGUCCACGAUCACCAGGACGACUCAGCUAGAGUCGGAAGUUCAGAGACUACGAGAACAGCAAGCUGCUCAGGCUGCCUAUAAUGCCUCGCAGGCUGCCUAUAAUGCCUCCCAGGCAGCCUAUAAUGCUGCGCAGGCAGCCUAUGUUGCCGAGAUACAUGCCAUCCAGCAGGCCCAGCAGCAGCAGAUGUUCCAGUACAUACAGGACUUUACAGCUGCCCAGCUUCAGGGACUUCCGCCUCCGCCCAUGCCUCCACCCAUGCCGCUACCCCAGCCGCCGCAAUCUCCGCCGCAACCUCCGCCGCAACCUCCGCAGCAACCCCCAGAAGCGGAUAUUAAUUUAGACGAUUUAGAUUUUAUGUAGUUGAUGAAUUAUAUACUUUUAUGUGCUUGUUGUUGGUUAUAUGGAAUAUGGAAUUGUUUUGGUAUAUUUUGCAGCUUGCUUGGAAUGGUAAUUCAGAAAUUUUCGGGGUUUUUUUUUUACUGGAAAGGACUUAUAGCCGACGAAAA